UGGCGCGUGCUAUAAUGCAAGUCGAGCGACAGAGAAGGAGCUUGCUCCUUUGACGUUAGCGGCGGACGGGUGAGUAACACGUGGGCAACCUACCUUAUAGUUUGGGAUAACUCCGGGAAACCGGGGCUAAUACCGAAUAAUCUAUUUCACUUCAUGGUGAAAUACUGAAAGACGGCAUCUCGCUGUCCCUUUAAAAGGGGCCCGCGGCGCAUUACCUAGUUGGGGAGGUAACGGCUCACCAAGGCGACAAUGCGUAGCCAACCUGAAAGGGUGAUCGGCCACCCUGGGACUGAAACACGGCCCAAACUCCUACGGGAGGCACCAUUAGGGAAUCUUCCACAAGGGGCGAAAGCCUGAUGGACCACCCCCCCGGGAGUGAAAAAGGUUUUCGGAUCGUAAAAUUCUGUUGUAAGGAAAAAACAAGUACAGUGGUAACUGGCUGUACUUUACGGGUACUUUAUUGGAAGCCAACGCCUACUACGUGCAAGCAGCCGCGGUAAUACGUAGUGGCAAGCGUUGUCCGGAUUAUUGGGCGUAAAGCGCGCGCAGGCGGUCCUUUAGUCUGAUGUGAAAGCCCACGGCUCACCGUGGAGGGUCAUUGGAAACUGGGGGACUUGAGUGCAGAGGAGGAAAGUGGAAUUCCAAGUGUAGCGUGAAAUGCGUAGAGAUUUGGAGGACACAGUGCGAAGGCGACUUCUGGUCUGUACUGACCUGAGCCGAAGCUGGACACAGAUAGUCCUGUAGUCAGCGUAACGAUAUGCUAGUUAGGUUCGCCUAUGCUGCAGCUACAUAGAUCGCUGGUACGUCGAGCUGACCAGAUGACGGUCGCACGUGACAUUGUAUCGAGCACGCGGACUACAGCUGACUCGUGACACUGUAGAUGAUCUCGACACGUGAGUGGUCAUGUGCGUCAGUCGCUGAUGUGUAGUUCAAGGCACU
rnacentral:rRNA from 1 species